GUUGGGUGACCAGGUAGAGUAUAAGACAAGCAGUCCUGAAGCUGAAUAUGCCUGCAAUCUGGUUGUACUGACAGAUGCCAGUCUUCAACAAUGUGGGCAAAUAGGAGCUUUUGAAUAUGUGGUGGGACAAGCCGUGAUUAAUACUGAGGGAGAAGAGAAGACACGCAGAAUGGAAACAGAGUUUUCAGACCCCUCGAUUUGGAUGAGG